UACGAAGGGGGCUAGCGUUGUUCGGAAUUACUGGGCGUAAAGCGCGUGUAGGCGGGUCUUUUAAGUCAGGGGUGAAAUGCCAAGGCUCAACCUUGGAACUGCCUUUGAUACUGGAGACCUUGAGUCCGGGAGAGGUGAGUGGAAUUGCGAGUGUAGAGGUGAAAUUCGUAGAUAUUCGCAAGAACACCAAGUGGCGAAGGCGGCUCACUGGCCCGGAACUGACGCUGAGACGCGAAACGUGGGGAGGCGAACG
rnacentral:rRNA from 1 species